UACGAAGGGGGCUAGCGUUGUUCGGAUUUACUGGGCGUAAAGCGCACGUAGGCGGAUCUUUAAGUCAGGGGUGAAAUCCUGGAGCUCAACUCCAGAACUGCCUUUGAUACUGAGGAUCUUGAGUACGGGAGAGGUGAGUGGAACUGCGAGUGUAGAGGUGAAAUUCGUAGAUAUUCGCAAGAACACCAGUGGCGAAGGCGGCUCACUGGCCCGUUACUGACGCUGAGGCACGAAAGCGUGGGGAGCAAACAGG
rnacentral:rRNA from 1 species